AACGUAGGACGCAAGCGUUAUCCGGAGUUACUGGGCGUAAAGCGCGGGCAGGCGGUCUUGCCAGUCUGAUGUGAAAUCUCCCCGCUCAACGGGGAGCAGCCAUUGGAAACUACAAGACUGGAGUCUGACAGAGGUAGGCGGAAUCCGGGUGGAGUGGUGAAAUGCGUAGAGAUCCGGAGGAACACCAGAGGCGAAGGCGGCCUACUGGGUCAGUACUGGACGCUGAGGCGCGAAAGCUAGGGAGCGAACGGG
rnacentral:rRNA from 1 species